ensembl:lncRNA
AAAAAAACGCCUUACUAUACUAUGUCGAAAAAAAAUGGGAUUUUUCAAACAUGUUGUAAAAACGUGCCAUAUGAUGAAAUAAUGUAAAGGAGGCUGUGAAAAACACUCUAGAAAGGUUUUCUUUGAAAAAAAAAUCAUCAUGAAUUUUGGCGCAAAAAAACGCCUUACUAUACUAUGUCGAAAAAAAAAUGGGAUUUUUCAAACAUGUUGUAAAAACGUGCCAUAUGAUGAAAUAAUGUAAAGGAGGCCGUGAAAAACACUCCAGAAAGGUUUUCUUUGAAAAAACAUGAAUUUUGGCGCAAAAAAACGCCUACUAUACUAUGUCGCAAAAAAAUGGGAUUUUUCAAACAUGUUGUAAAAACGUGCCAUAUGAUGAAAUAAUGUAAAGGAGGCCGUGAAAACCACUCCAGAAAGGUUUUCUUUGAAAAAAAAAUCAUCAUGAAUUUUGGCACAAAAAAACGCCUUACUAUACUAUGUCGAAAAAAAAUGGGAUUUUUCAAACAUGUUGUAAAAACGUGCCAUAUGAUGAAAUAAUGUAAAGGAGGCCGUGAAAAACACUCCAGAAAGGUUUUCUUUGAAAAAACAUGAAUUUUGGCGCAAAAAAACGCCUACUAUACUAUGUCGCAAAAAAAUGCGAUUUUUCAAACAUGUUGUAAAAACGUGCCAUAUGAUGAAAUAAUGUAAAGGAGGCCGUGAAAAACACUCCAGAAAGGUUUUCUUUGAAAAAAAAAUCAUCAUGAAUUUUGGCGCAAAAAAACGCCUUACUAUACUAUGUCGAAAAAAAAUGCGAUUUUUCAAGCAUGUUGUAAAAACGUGCCAUAUGAUGAAAUAAUGUAAAGGAGGCCGUGAAAAACACUCUAGAAAGGUUUUCUUUGAAAAAAAAAUCAUCAUGAAUUUUGGCGCAAAAAAAACGCCUUACUAUACUAUGUCGAAAAAAAAUGGGAUUUUUCAAACAUGUUGUAAAAACGUGCCAUAUGAUGAAAUAAUGUAAAGGAGGCCGUGAAAAACACUCCAGAAAGGUUUUCUUUGAAAAAAAAAAUCAUCAUGAAUUUUGGCACAAAAAAACGCCUUACUAUACUAUGUCGAAAAAAAAUGGGAUUUUUCAAACAUGUUGUAAAAACGUGCCAUAUGAUGAAAUAAUGUAAAGGAGGCCGUGAAAAACACUCCAGAAAGGUUUUCUUUGAAAAAAAAAUCAUCAUGAAUUUUGUCGCAAAAAAACGCCUUACUAUACUAUGUCGAAAAAAAAUGCGAUUUUUCAAACAUGUUGUAAAAACGUGCCAUAUGAUGAAAUAAUGUAAAGGAGGCCGUGAAAAACACUCCAGAAAGGUUUUCUUUGAAAAAAAAAAAAAAAUUUUGGCACAAAAAAACGCCACAGUAUACUAUGUCGAAAAAAAAAAUGCGAUUUUUCAACAUGUUGUAAAAAUGAGCCGUAUGAUGAAAUAAUGUAGAGGAGGCCGUGAAAAACACUCCAGAAUGGAUUUCUUUGAAAAAAAAAAAUCAUCAUGAAUUUUGGCGCAAAAAAACGCCUUACUAUACUAUGUCGAAAUAAAAAUGCGAUUUUUCAACAUGUAUUUGCUCUUUUUUCAAUUCAAUUCAAUUCAAUUUUAUUUAUAUAGCGCCAAUUACAGUCAAAUUGUCUCGAGACGCUUUACAGAACCCAUAUGCCUGACCCCCAGAGCAAGCCAAAAGGCGACAGUGGCAAGGAAAACACCCUUUUAACGGGGAAAAAAACCUCGAGCAGAACCCGGCUCUAAUGUGGGGGGACCCAUCUGCCUGCUGGCCGGGCGGGUUGAGAGGGACAGAAGAAGUAGAGAGGUAGAGAUAGAGGGGUAGAGGUAGAGACAGAGGGAUACAGAUAGAGGGG